rnacentral:rRNA from 1 species
UACGGGGGGAGCAAGCGUUGUUCGGAUUUACUGGGCGUAAAGGGCGCGUAGGCGGCCAGCGCAAGUCAGUUGUGAAAUCUCCGGGCUUAACUCGGAACGGUCAACUGAUACUGCGCGGCUAGAGUGCAGAAGGGGCAACUGGAAUUCUCGGUGCAGCGGUGAAAUGCGUAGAUAUCGAGAGGAACACCUGCGGCGAAGGCGGGUUGCUGGGCUGACACUGACGCUGAUGCGCGAAAGCCAGGGGAGCGAACGGG